AUUAAUGAAGUUUGAGAAGAUAAUAUAUACGCAAACCUUCCUCCUAUAUCGUGAAAAUGGAGAAUUGUUUUCCGCUGGGCUAAGCCUUCUCUCAAAUUCGCUACCACCAAAUUAUGAGCUGUUAGGUGAACUGGCCAUUUCUCAAAAUCGCUAGUCUCGCCCCUGUCACUCUUCACAUACGGCCCCACAAAUCCCUCCCUCCGCUCCUAUCCUUUAUAAUCACCACGCAUUAUUGACCAUCUUCUUCACCAACUCACAGAACAUAUUGUAGCAUACCACAAUUUCUCAAUUUUCCGAUAACAACAGAUCUCAGAGAUUAUGGCUCAAAUUAGCAUUACAAUCCAAGCCUUGAUUCUCGCUGUCCUCCUUGCCGCCGUUGCUUCUUCCGCACAGGAGAUUGGGAUGGCACCGGCUCCGUCACCGGACGCCGGAGCGGCGUUCUCUUUACCGGCUUCCGGUUCCUUGAUUGCGACAUCUCUACUUGUCUCCUUAUUCGCUCCGUUGAGACAAUGCGUUCGUUUUUGAACAGAGAUUUGCGUUUUCAGGAUUGAUUUGUAUAGUCGUUUGGUGAUUUGUCAUUGUUCGGGUAUUAACCUGAUUCUUUUGUUAAUAUAUUCGAUUUAUUGGAAUUAAUUUCUUUGCUUAUAUUAUAUUUGGAUUUCGUAGCUUUAUUGAAUUGUUGAUUUUGAAUUAAUUUAUUCCAUUCUCUUUUAUUCUAAUGCACUUCUAAAAAAUGUCCAUCUUAACGAAAUGCUAAGAUUUGUGCUUGAUUUUAAUUUAUAUUAAAUACUGUUCCUAUGUCAAUUAGUACAAUUUGGAGGCAGCGUUAUGAUGAUAAUGAAGACUUAACAGAGAAGAUAUACCAGUUGUUUGACAUUGCAAACCAAGUAAUGAAUGAUUAAAAACCCAUAAUUGUGCUUAUGCAAAAAGUUAAAUUAACUUUCCUUCUAAAUAGCUUCAGAAACCGAGAAGAUAAUGGUUUUGGCCUCGAGAAGACUCAAUCAUGGUGACACUAGAUACAAACGGGUAAGGAGCAAUUCAAAUAUGACCAUUAUAGAAAUGUUAUAGAAGACCCCAAGAUUUCUUUGGCCUUUAUUAGAUUUUAUUAUCUUUUAUUGUUAUUCAUCACCUUUUAACUACCUUUUGCAUUAGUAUUGGUAAUUAAGGGGGUAUAAUUUGUAGAUCAUAUAUCACAUAACUCUAGUAUAAAUAGAGGUUUUCAUUCUAUUGUAAAGACAUGACGAAAUACCGGUAGCAAAAAAUUAAUAUUGUUUCUCUCAUUCUUUCAAGCUUUAUACGAGUGUGGUCAAGAUUUUUCAAUUAUUCUUGAUCCCCGCUGGGAACAUUCUGAAGCUCAGGCUUGUCUCUUCUUUAUUUAUCCUUAUUUAUUCUGUUUGCACUUUAUUAUUUUAUUUUAUCAGAUCAAAUUAAUCCAUGUGUCUAUAAACCAUGUUAUAGUACUAUUUUUUGGGUAAACAGUUUGACGCUCACCGUGAGGCAUAGAUAAUUAUGGUAUUACUUUGAUCCAUUCAUCUUUUACUAACACACUUUAAAGCUUUUCUGUUGUAAGCAUAAAACAACUAUGGCACCCAACGAUGUCAACAACUCGCUCAAUGUUGGAUCAAACAACAACGACGAGCCCGUGGACAAUAUCCAUGAUAGAAGUCAACAGGAUGGUUCAACUAAUAAAACUCGUCUCGAUAAGAAUGAGUCACCUUCGAAUCGGGUAGAAAGAAAUACUUGACGUGCGAAGUGUCCUACCCCUAAUGAUUUGGAUGACGAGCCCAUUGCCGACACUGUAAAGGUCUUGAGACUUAGAUUAAGUCGGGCAUUGGUGCUUCAUCACGAGACAUUUCUCUGAUAUCGGGAAGAUUUAAACCAUCAUGAGGCCGAGACUCGAGGGCUCACUGAGAAGAAGGGAUGCUUACAAACUUCUUAGUGAGAGACUCCAGGCUGAGCUAGAGGCGGCUCGGAAGGAGCAUGCCGACCUGGUCGAGCAGGUCCAAAAAAAACUUGAUAAAAUCGAGCAGCUCCAGGCAGAGGUGGAUGUAGUAAAGGCCGAAGCCUAAGAAUGGAAAAUAAACAUAGACCGCUUGCCCUCGAAAAAGAAGACUGGCCGGGCACAGCUGGCCUCGGCCGAGUCUUCGAGCUGCGAAGAAAAAGGCCUUGGUGCAGGCCAAAAAGAUCGAGGGGCUUCAAUCUCAUCUAAAUUCGGCUGUUUCCGAUCGAGAAAAGCUGGCCAAAGAGCUCGAGACGGCCAAGUCGGAGGCCAAGGUAGUUAAAAUCGAUGCCGACGAGAUGGUGGCCAUUUAUAAGGCCGAUACCGAGGCGGCUCAGGUUCGAGCAAAGGAUGUCAUCGAGUACACGAAAUGGCAAUCUCGAAGGGAGGCCCUCGAGGAAAUUCAUGCUCGGGGUUUCGACUUAUCGGCUGAGAUUGAGAUUGCCAAAGAGCUCGAAGCCGAGGCCAAAAAACUGGCCUUUCCCGAAGAUGAUGAAGGUUCUGAGGAUUUGGGCGAGUCCGAGGAAGACAGGGGGGUGAAUGUGAUGAUGCGGCUCCCGGCGAAGACUAGGCCACUUAGGCUCUUUUCAGAUGUUUUUGUUUUUUGCUUUUUAUAUUACCCUUUUGUCGAGGCCGUUUGGCCUUUGUAAAAAUUUGUUUUAGGGCGGUUUUGUAAAAAGACUUUUUGAUAUGUAUAUAAGGCUU